CAGCCGCCGCGGUAAAACGUAGGUGGCAAGCGUUGUCCGGAUUUAUUGGGCGUAAAGCGAGCGCAGGCGGUCUUUUAAGUCUGAUGUGAAAGCCCACGGCUUAACCGUGGAGGGUCAUUGGAAACUGGGAGACUUGAGUGCAGAAGAGGAAAGUGGAACUCCAUGUGUAGCGGUGGAAUGCGUAGAUAUAUGGAAGAAUACCAGUGGCGAAGGCGGCUUUCUGGUCUGUAACUGACGCUGAGGCUCGAAAGCGUGGGGAGCAAACAGGAUUAGAGACCCCUGUAGUCCCUGUCUCUUAUAC
rnacentral:rRNA from 1 species